rnacentral:rRNA from 1 species
GAGUUUUAUCNUGGCUCAGAUUGAACGCUGGCGGCAUGCCUUACACAUGCAAGUCGAACGGUAACAGGUCUUCGGAUGCUGACGAGUGGCGAACGGGUGAGUAAAGUAUCGGAACGUGCCCAGUCGUGGGGGAUAACGCAGCGAAAGCUGUGCUAAUACCGCAUACGAUCUACGGAUGAAAGCGGGGGACUCGCAAGGGCCUCGCGCGAUUGGAGCGGCUGAUAUCAGAUUAGGUAGUUGGUGAAGUAAAGGCUCACCAAGCCUGCGAUCUGUAGCUGGUCUGAGAGGACGACCAGCCACACUGGAACUGAGACACGGUCCAGACUCCUACGGGGCGCAGCAGAAGGGC